ensembl:lncRNA
CUUGGGAACGGUUGCUAGGGCUCUGCUCGCCCCUCAUCUCACCCCCCAGGCGAAGACUGGUCUUCUUGUCGGAUUGCCCAUGCACUUGUUGCAGAAACAGCCAAGUGCCUGGAUGUACUAGAACAAGUCAGAGAAGGUGCUCAAAGUCUCGUGGAGGACUGUUAGAAGAGCAUAUAUAGAACAUAGAAGUAUGAUGAUACACAGUGAUGCCUCCCUAGAAAAAGACAAAACUUCAGAAAUAGUAAGUAGGAGGGAAGUCUUCAGAGAGAGGUGGUAUGUGGGUGGGUUGUGUGGGUUCAAGGGGUGCUUACAGCUAGACCAGAGGGAGGGGACCGCUGACAGCCUGAUUAGUAUAGAAAGCCACAUACAGUCUGGCCUUACUGCAGUACCACUUCUAUUUCAAGGCUUACCCAUCUAACUUCAUUUUACAUCACCCUUAGUUGAAUGCUCUGGAACUGUGCCGUCCAGCAUGGUCGCCAUUAGCUAUUUGUGUCCAGUUAAAUUUAAAUUAAUUUUAAAAUAAAUAAAAUUUAAAAUUCAGUCCACCAGUUGCACUAGCCAUAUGUCAAGCGCUCAGUGGCCACCCACGGCUAGUGCCUGCCAUAUUGGAAAGCAUCGAUGUAGGACAUUUCUGCUAGUGGAGAAGUUCUGUCAGGAGAGUGCUGUCAAACUUUGUUAUGAGGCUUUUUCUAGCAGGGAAUGUUCUUUCCAUUGCCCCUCACCUGGCUCACUCCCACUUCCUCCAGAGGCAUUCCCUAAACACCCUGGACAGGCAGCACUUCUGUCUCCCUGUCUGUCUGGAUUGCAGCACUCCCCUCGUAUAUCUGUCUCCCCAGCAUGACUUUCAGCUUCUUAAGGUCAUGAACUGGGUCUUGUUCGUCUGUGUCGUGUCUUGAAUAUCACUGUAUACCUAGCCCCCAGCUGGGGCCUGGCACAUAGGAAGUUAAUGACAUUGCAGGUGAAGGGGCUGGAGGAAUAAGCAAAGGAUUGGGCAGGCGGGGACUCGGUGCCACGGUCUGGAGCUUGAUCUUGACCCUCGGCAGUGGAGAGGUGACUGAAGGAUUUGGGGCAUGGGUGGAAUGGGGCCACAUCAGAUUUAUGUAUUAGAAAAAUUACCCUGAGAGGUGUGGAGGAUAGGCUGGCUCUGUUGAGCCUACAGGCCGAGAGAGAGCAGUUAGGAAAAUGUUGGAAGCACAGACGUAAGAGGGCUAAGGGUCUGGACUUGUGGGCUGUGGCAGUGAUACUGAAAGUAGCAUUGCCAUCUUGCCAAGUCAGGGCCUUCUACCAUUUCUUUCUUCAUUUUAUUUAUUUUUAAAGUUUUUUUUUUUUAAUUUAAAAUUUUGAAUGUGGAUGAUUUUUAAAGUCUUUGUUGAAUUUGUUACAGAGUUGUUUCUGUUUUAUGUUUUGGUUUUCUGGCCAUGGAGGCUGGUGGGAUCUUAGCUCUCUGACCAGGGAUUGAACCCACACCCCCUGCAUUGAAAGGCAAAGUCUUAACCCCUGGACCAUUAGAGAAGUGGUCGCUCUCCAUUUGAGAUGCUCUUUUCCAUUUCUAAGGGAAACUGCAAGAAGAAUUCUUCUUCUGGGUCCUUGCACCCCUUUUGCUUUUGAGGCCCCCUGCCAUGUACUGGGACCCUCCCCCACUCCCGUCCACCCUCUGCUUGGUUGGUGGCUGUCCUCUUCCCCCCUCCUCUGCCGCCCUACGCCCGCCUAUUCGUGUCCCUCCAGGGAACGUCUCACUCUGGGUCAUCCCAAGCUGCAGUUUGUGAUCAAAUCUGAGUAGAAGUGCAGGGCACUUCUGGGAUAUCAGCCUUUUGUUUUUGCAGACUUGUGCCAGGUUCUUCUCUGAGGACACUUUUGGGGGCUUAAAUUGAAGAAACCUGUGUAGAGAGUUUUGAAAAGGAGCCUGGGAUGUAACUGAGGUCAGUCCAGUCUCUGAGAUAGUUAAAAGGGAACCAGGAUGGUAGGUUUUAGAGAAGCAUAAGAGGAUUCUUUUCUUUCAGUAGAUGAGGCUAUAUACUCUGGCUGUGGUGACCUCACAUUGUGCACGUUUGGGGGCAGGAUGCAUUUCAAAGUGUAACAGUUCCCUAAUAAGUGCAAAUACACGCCACCAGUUUACAUAUAUUACCUUAUUUAAGGCUCAAAGCAACUCUAUGAGAAAGGCGUUAUUAUCUCUUUCAUACAAGUGAGGGAAUGGAGGUACCAAGGGAUAUAGUGACUGGGCCUGAACAUGCUCUCAGCUCUGCCCCAAUUGUUCUACAUGAUUUUGAGGGAUGGUUGGUGGACAGACCUUUGACCAGAGCUGGAGUGGUGUUCAUGACCUUGGGAAAGUCACUUCACCUUCCUUAACCUCCAUUUCCUGAGAUAGUCACAUCUACUUGGUAGGGCCAUUGGGAAGAUUAACAGCAGAAUAUAUGUAAAAAUCAGCACCUCAGCAGCCAGAGGGUAACCUGUAUUUGUGGAAUAGAUGUCCACAGUCUAGGCUCGUCCCUCUUCUGUGAUCAGAAUAUCAUGGCUCAGAUUGGAGAAGACAUGAUUCAGGAAUUUCUCUGGUGGUCCAGUGGUGAAGACUCCAAGCUUCCGUUGCAGGGGGCAUGUGUUUGAUCCUUAGUUGGGGCACUAAGAUCCUGCACCCUGCAAGGGCCAAAAAAAAAAAAGAUGAUUCAAAGCUUUGUUAGAGCUAAGACUUUUUCACUGAAAUUGUGUAAAUGGUAAAUGAAAAGAGUUCACAAGACUUUGUUUUGGAGAAGGAGGGUGUAAAUGGUACAUAGUGAUCAUAGGCAAUUCAGAAAAUAUCGGCAGGUCUAAGGAAGAAAAUAAAAAUUGUCGUUAAGUUCUCUUUAAUUCGUUCUUAUUAACAUUUUAGUAAUUUCCAUCCAGUAUUUUUUUUUUAGUGUAGUCUAUUGACUAAGAGUAUAUUAAGAGUAUAAGUUCUUAAUAUAAGUUCAAACUCGGACUGCCUGGGUUUGAAUCCAGGAUCCUUCAGUUACUGGAAAUAAUAACAACUUGUUAGGACUGGUUGAGAUGAGAUGAGAUGAGAUGGUACUUGUAAAACAUUUGGGGCUGUGCCUGGCAAAGAGUAAAUUCUCAAGAAGUAUUAGCUAUGAUAUUGUGCUUUAAAAGUAGUAUAUUAAAAUCUAGCUCAUUAAAUAUUUUAAUGAGCACGGAAUUGGGAAAUAUUUUUAUUCUGAAAUACUUGUUUAGUAUCCUCUUAUUUGGAUUCUGUGUUCAAUAUAUAUUUAUGUAGCACAUACUGUAUACCAGGCAUUGGGUCCCCUGACUUAACUAGUCAUUUUUAUUAGAGAUUUACCUUACUUCUCAUUUGUUAUUAGGUAUUAUCAAUAUUGUUUAUUGUAUUAUUAAUUUAUCAUUUAUUAUACAAUAAGUAGUGCUUUGAUGAACAUAGAUCAUGGAACAUAGAUAUACAUAGAUCUUUGAUCACAUCUUGGAUUGUUUUCUUUGGCUAAAUUCCUGGAAAGGAGAAUUACUGUGUUAAGGAGAGUGGGUGCUUUUUAAUGUUCUUGAUAAUAUUUCCUAAUUGUUCUUCACACAAUUAUAAAAUUAAUUUCCAUUCCUACUACCAGCAUACGAGAGUAUGCUACAUCCCCUCCACCCUAAUAUUACUGUUUUUCAAAAAAUGGUCUUUCUUGUGCAACAUGAAUUAUUCUGUAAACAAUAUGCAUUCCUUCUCAGGGGCUCAGUUUUUUCCUUGCUGCAAAGUGGAGUACAAUUGCCUCUUGCUUGAUGACUGUUACUUGUUAAUUUAGUAGGCUCUUUGGAUUUCUGUUAUGGAAGACCAAACAGAUGACCUGAAUUAUUCUCAGAAGUGAAGUGAGAAUUUCCUCAUGCUUAUUGAGAAGGACUUAGGUGUGCUCUCUUUCACCAAACCUAGCAUGAGUGAGGAGUCAUUCCGUGCCCAGGACACAGGAUAUGUCAGCUAGUUGGUCAGUAGACGAGCAGCAUUCUUAGAAUAAAUGUUGCUAAUAAUUGACUGCAGAAAUACAGGAACUUGGUCCAAUUUUCUAGGAAUUUGUUCUUUUUAAAUCUUUAUAAGAAAACGAAGGCCACUUUUACUCCCUGUAAGUAUAAGAAAAUACUGUCUAGUGUUGUAUGAAACUAGAUAUUGAGGGAAAAAGUUGUUCUACUGAAAAUGCCACAAAGUAUGAAGAAAAUGAAAACCAGUCCUCAUUCCAUCAUCUAGGUAGAACCUCAUUCCAUCAUCUAGGUAGAACCUCAUUCCAUCAUCUAGGUAGAACCUCUGUUUUAAAAAGUGGUGUUUUUUUCCUAGUUUGUUUUUUUUUUUCCCCAAUAGAUAUACCUUUGCACAGUUGAAUGCUUUGUCUGUGAUUUUGUAUUUUUUUUUUUUUUUUUUUAAGAAUCUACCCUGAAGUGAUCAUUUCACCAUUUUCCGGGUAUUGCAAGCUCUUUAGAACACUUUGACUCUUAGACCUUCUUUAUAUUCCUUUUGAAGUCUUGUGAUUUUAAUUCUCC